rnacentral:rRNA from 1 species
UACGAAGGGGGCUAGCGUUGCUCGGAAUUACUGGGCGUAAAGGGCGCGUAGGCGGCCCGAUCAGUCAGAUGUGAAAGCCCCGGGCUCAACCUGGGAACUGCAUUUGAUACUGUCGGGCUUGAGUUCCGGAGAGGAUGGUGGAAUUCCCAGUGUAGAGGUGAAAUUCGUAGAUAUUGGGAAGAACACCGGUGGCGAAGGCGGCCAUCUGGACGGACACUGACGCUGAGGCGCGAAAGCGUGGGGAGCAACAGG